GGAGGUGUGGCUGAGUGGUUUAAA
rnacentral:tRNA from 2 species